AGCGGCGGAUGGGUGAGUAACACGUGGGGAACCCGCCCCUAAGUCUGGGAUACCAUUUGGAAACAGGUGCUAAUACCGGAUAAUAAAGCAGAUCGCAUGAUCAGCUUUUGAAAGGCGGCGUAAGCUGUCGCUAAGGGAUGGCCCCGCGGUGCAUUAGCUAGUUGGUAAGGUAACGGCUUACCAAGGCGACGAUGCAUAGCCGAGUUGAGAGACUGAUCGGCCACAUUGGGACUGAGACACGGCCCAAACUCCUACGGGAGGCAGCAGUAGGGAAUCUUCCACAAUGGACGCAAGUCUGAUGGAGCAACGCCGCGUGAGUGAAGAAGGUUUUCGGAUCGUAAAGCUCUGUUGUUGGUGAAGAAGGAUAGAGGUAGUAACUGGCCUUUAUUUGACGGUAAUCAACCACAAAGUCACGGCUAACUACGUGCCAGCAGCCGCGGUAAUACGUAGGUGGCAAGCGUUGUCCGGAUUUAUUGGGCGUAAAGCGAGCGCAGGCGGAAAAAUAAGUCUAAUGUGAAAGCCCUCGGCUUAACCGAGGAACUGCAUCGGAAACUGUUUUUCUUGAGUGCAGAAGAGGAGAGUGGAACUCCAUGUGUAGCGGUGGAAUGCGUAGAUAUAUGGAAGAACACCAGUGGCGAAGGCGGCUCUCUGGUCUGCAACUGACGCUGAGGCUCGAAAGCAUGGGUAGCGAACAGGAUUAGAUACCCUGGUAGUCCAUGCCGUAUACGAUGAGUGCUAAG
rnacentral:rRNA from 1 species